CUAACCACCACAUCCACGGCAGCGAUCCCUUAAGUGGUGGUGAUAUUAUUAUUUUAUUAUUGCCAGCCAGUGGCUUUAAAGGUGCAUUAUUUUAAUGCAUUAUUAAUUGUUUUCCCAGGGAGAGAAGGAAACUGGGGAUAGGGCUUAUUAUUAUUAAUAGCGAGGAGAUCACUCGCUCCUUUCGCGCACGACGAGGAGAGCGGUGGGAGGAGGCAGCGCCGGAGGGAGGCGGCAGCGGAGCGCACCCCGCUCUCAGGCUCGUUGCGCGGCCGCGGGAACCACCCGCGGGGGCCCGGCGCAGCCCUCGCCUCUCCCUCCCUGUGCCCCCACCCUCGCCCUGUUGCCCUAGCCUUCGGGCGGAAAGUUCCGCGGGCAGCGGCCAACCUCGUGCCUGCCCAAAGCAGCCCCUCGGCAUCCCCCCCAGCUCCAGCCCCAGCCCCAGUCAUAGCUCCGCGCGGGCGGCGUGUCUCCGCGGGCGCCGAAGUUGCGGCAGGGCCGGGGGGCCUCUGCGACUGCCAGCCAUCAAGUGGCUCGUUAAGGAAAUGCAGCUCCUUCGGGGCCUGUGUGGACUAGGGGCACAACCCGGCGCCUGACUGGCAGGAGGGAAAGCGGAGACUCCUUCAGGUUUCCAAAGAGGUCCGAGUGGACUGCAUUAUGAUUCCAGAUGCUUGAGACCAGAAGGAAAAUGUGUAACAAGAAAGACAUACAUAUCCUGGAGGAGAAUCUGGUUAGGGAACAUUUGUAUGAACUGAACAUACACAAG
ensembl:lncRNA